rnacentral:rRNA from 1 species
UACGAAGGGGGCUAGCGUUGCUCGGAAUUACUGGGCGUAAAGGGCUCGUAGGUGGCCAACUAAGUCGGACGUGAAAUCCCUCAGCUUAACUGGGGAACUGCGUCCGAUACUGGAUGGCUCGAGUUUGGGAGAGGGAUGCGGAAUUCCAGGUGUAGCGGUGAAAUGCGUAGAUAUCUGGAGGAACACCGGUGGCGAAGGCGGCAUCCUGGACCAACACUGACACUGAGGAGCGAAAGCCAGGGGAGCAAACGGG